rnacentral:rRNA from 1 species
CGGGUGAGUAAUGUCUGGGAAACUGCCUGAUGGAGGGGGAUAACUACUGGAAACGGUGGCUAAUACCGCAUAACGUCGCAAGACCAAAGAGGGGGACCUUCGGGCCUCUUGCCAUCAGAUGUGCCCAGAUGGGAUUAGCUUGUUGGUGAGGUAACGGCUCACCAAGGCGACGAUCCCUAGCUGGUCUGAGAGGAUGACCAGCCACACUGGAACUGAGACACGGUCCAGACUCCUACGGGAGGCAGCAGUGGGGAAUAUUGCACAAUGGGCGCAAGCCUGAUGCAGCCAUGCCCGCGUGUAUGAAGAAGGCCUUCGGGUUGUAAAGUACUUUCAGCGGGGAGGAAAGGUGUUGUGGUAAUAACC